GCCUGGGUGGCUCAGUUGGUUGAGUGUCCGACUUUGGCUCAGGUCAUCAUCUCACGGUUUGUGGGUUUGAGCCCCGCCUCUGGCU
rnacentral:tRNA from 1 species